rnacentral:rRNA from 1 species
UACAGAGGGUGCGAGCGUUAAUCGGAAUUACUGGGCGUAAAGCGCACGUAGGUGGCGACGUAAGUCGGGUGUGAAAGCCCCGGGCUCAACCUGGGAAUUGCAUUCGAGACUGCAUUGCUGGAGUACGGAAGAGGAAGGCGGAAUUCCCGGUGUAGCGGUGGAAAUGCGUAGAUAUCGGGAGGAACAUCAGUGGCGAAGGCGGC